UACGUAGGGUGCAAGCGUUGUCCGGAAUUAUUGGGCGUAAAGAGCACGCAGGUGGUUCUGUGCGUGGGGUGUGAAAGCUCUCGGCUUAACUGAGAGAGGCCACCUCAUACGGCAGAGCUCGAGCCCGUGAGAGGUCCACGGAAUUGCCGGUGUAGCGGUGAAAUGCGCAGAUAUCGGGAGGAACACCAAUGGCGAAGGCAGCUCGCUGGGACGUUACUGACGCUGAGACGCGAAAGCGUGGGGAGAAAACAGG
rnacentral:rRNA from 1 species